UAGAGGAGGAUGCAUUAUAAAAUUUAAUAUGUAACCUCUUUGAAAGUUUCUUAUUAAUUAAUACCGCGUUUUCAAGAUAAGUACUUAUUAUUAUUAUUAUUAUUAUUAUUAUUAUUAUUAUUUUAAGUACUUCUGCUUUUUUUUUUUUUUUGAAUGAAAUUAGUACUUCUGCUUUUAAUUAUAAUAACAUACAAAUAUUUGUCUCAUUAGUUUUCUGUUAUUUGAUAUUAAUUAUUUCCUUAAUUACAUAUACAUAUUAGAAUGAUUAUAGUGUAUUCUCUCUUCACUGGCUUUCAUAAUGGCCAUGAUUUUCCCAAAAAAAAAAAAAAAUAUCCUUCGAUUAAUUCUCUCUUUGAUUAAUUCUUUUUUAUCAUUAAUUAUUCCUACAUACAAAACAAUAUUAUUAAUCAAAGUAUAUCUUAACACUUAACACUUAACACGGUUUAAUUAUAUAAUUAUUAUAUAUAUCUUUAUAUAUUAAAAGUGCCUAUCUAACGGCAAUUCUUGGUUUAACGAUUCUUGGUUUAACGAUUCUUUUUUUUAUUUAGCCUUACACGAUUAACUUAACAGACUGUUAACGUUAAACGUUAACAAAUAAAUAAACCCAAUAAUUAAACCCAAAAAAUUAAACGAUCUUUUUUAAAAUUAAAAAAAAUAUCUUACCCACAUAUCUCUCUAACAAAUUAUACGGUUUCAUUCCAAUUUCAAAAAAUAAACCCAAUAAUUAAAAAAAAAAUUAAACAAUAUUGGAAGCCGAUUCUUUGGCCGCCUACCAUAUUUCUAGAAUCACUUAUUGGUAACUUUUUAAAUCGAGCAUUCCUCUCAUCUCACUCCUCAACUACGGGCUGUGACAAUAACUCAAGCAUUUGUUGCGGCUGAUUCUCCUCUUUUCAUUUAAGAAAUCUUUUUUCAAUUGAAAUCCAAGUUUCUGGUAUAUCUACAUCUUCAAUUGAGUGCUUCAUCAAAUCAAAUCAAAUCACCAUUAAAUAAGAGAUAAGAAUUCCAAUUUACACUUGAUCUUUGUAUGGAUUAUUUAAAUUUUUAAUUUGAUUUUCCUUGCUUCCUUGUUCUGUUUAAAUGGGACAUUAUUAAAACUAUGAUUGUUUGGUUUUCAAAAAUACGGAAUAGAUGGUAGUUUUUUACUAAUUAUUUAGUUACUUUUACUACUUACAUAUUUAAUUCAAUUUUGGGAUCAUUUGCUGAUUGAAGACGAGGUUGAGAAUCAUGAGAAUCAUAUUGGUAAUCCUCAUUAAUUGGACUUUUAUGAAGUAGAAAACAUCAGCCUUAUAUCAUAAAUUAUAUUUUAUUGGCAACACUUGCAGAAGAUAAGUUUCAUGACAAGGUUAAGUCAUUCCAAGUUUGUAUCAUCCUAUACAAAGAUGUAAAUUUGGAAUAUUACUGGUGUAUAAAUAAGACUGCAAUGCAAUGCUUCUUUUUUUUACUGGUUCAUAUGAUACUCAUUCUAUUCCAUUAAUAUUUUUUUGCUGCUAUUUUAAUUGGUUUAUAAUCAUGUAUUGUUCACUACUUUAUAUAAAAAAAAAGUUUAUACUGAUGGUGUUUUUAUUAUUACUUAUAGCAGAUAUAAAAAUUUAUGAAGCCUCUUCAAGUGCGGUAUUUCUACUCUUGGCAAUUUCUUUUUCUUAUCAUCAUUUCAUUCAUUCAAUCUAUUCAAUCCAUUUUUCAUUUUCAUUCAUCAAUGUCUUUUAAAGAUUCUGUUUGUUAGGGCGAAAGGGUGUUAGAAAUUCAUUCUCAUUCGUGUGGUUUUCUCUUAUGUGCUUUCAAUGUAGGAAUCUGAUGUAGGAUAGAGGAAGGCAAGUAAAAGAAAGUUGAGGCAUGGUGUUUCUACAUGCCCAUCAAUUCUUUCUCCAGAAUUACAAUCCCAAAAACUCAAGAAACGACCCAAAAUACAAUCUUCCAUUGACAAAGUAUUUACUUGUGGUUGCUAUUGCGAUUGUUGAAUGAAAUUCGUGUGGAUCUUUUUGAGCUCAAGUAGGGAAAUAUGGUCUACAUUUCCUAGGCAGGAGGAAGCGAUGAAGUUUUCCAAGUAGCAUGAUGAUGCUUGUGUUUUCAGUUACCAAGAUCAUUUUAAUGGGCAAAGAAGGUUCCUUGUUUCAACUUAUAUAGAAUUCUGGAAAAGAUAUAAGAAUUCAGAUUCAAAUUUUUGCCACCAUUAUGAAGUGAUUCAGGAAGUGUAAAUCUAUCGAUACUCUCAGAUCAACCAAGAUAAAAACUGUGAAAUUACUGCUGCCCCCUUGGUCUUUAAGGAACACGAUUGUUGGGACAUCUUGCUGGUCUAACUGUGUUCUAAUAUUUGUAACGAAUGCACACUUAAGUGAAUCAAUUCAGGGUCUUAGCUCUCUCUAGGGUCUUUUGGUAUAACUGCAACAGAGCUUGCUCAUGGUCAUGUUCCUUUCUCAAGAUACCCUCCAAUAAAGGUGCAUAGCUUGCUCAAUUUAUUGGACUCUAAUCACUUUAAUUACGAAUAGAGUUUAAUCUGAACCAAUUUUUAAAUUGUGAGUAGAUACUACUAAUGACACUGCAAAGUGGACCUCCUUGCGUUACUAAUCCUUCGGAUGAUAUGUUUUCUUAUGUAUGAUCUUUACCUCUUAAUAUCUUAUUUAUACUUUUCAUUCAUUAUGAUUAUACAUGUGAAUGAGCUUCUUUCUCUUUGGUGUCUUUCUUUAGAGCUUUAGGCAAAUGGUUGCUUCUUGCUUGAUAAAAGACUAUUUAAGGCUCCCUUCUGCAAAAAUAUUGCUAAAGCAUUCAUUCUUUAACAAGCUCGGUCAAAGGACUAUAUCCAGAGGAAGUUUUUAGAGGGGCUUUUUCAAUAGUGUUUUCAAUUGUAUAUGUUUCUUUUUAAUUUUGAAAAUCUCCAUAAUUUAUUGUCUUUAACAAUAUG